rnacentral:rRNA from 1 species
GAUGAACGCUGGCGGCGUGCCUAAUACAUGCAAGUCGAGCGAACAGACGAGGAGCUUGCUCCUCUGACGUUAGCGGCGGACGGGUGAGUAACACGUGGAUAACCUACCUAUAAGACUGGGAUAACUUCGGGAAACCGGAGCUAAUACCGGAUAAUAUUUUGAACCGCAUGGUUCAAUAGUGAAAGACGGUUUUGCUAUCACUUAUAGAUGGAUCUGCGCCGCAUUAGCUAGUUGGUAAGGUAACGGCUUACCAAGGCAACGAUGCGUAGCCGACCUGAGAGGGUGAUCGGCCACACUGGAACUGAGACACGGUCCAGACUCCUACGGGAGGCAGCAGUAGGGAAUCUUCCGCAAUGGGCGAAAGCCUGACGGAGCAACGCCGCGUGAGUGAUGAAGGUCUUCGGAUCGUAAAACUCUGUUAUUAGGGAAGAACAAACGUGUAAGUAACUAUGCACGUCUUGACGGUACCUAAUCAGAAAGCCACGGCUAACUACGUG